rnacentral:piRNA from 1 species
UCGGACCUCAAGUGGCUGAAGGAGAG